CAGCCGCCACGGGAACACGUAGGGGGCAAGCGUUAUCCGGAAUAACUGGGCGUAAAGGGUGCGCAGGUGGUUUAACAAGUUAGUGGUGAAAGGCAUAGGCUCAACCAAUGUAAGCCAUUAAAACUGUUUAACUUGAGUGCAGGAGAGGAAAGUGGAAUUCCUAGUGUAGCGGUGAAAUGCGUAGAUAUUAGGAGGAAUACCAGUGGCGAAGGCGACUUUCUGGACUGCAACUGACACUGAGGCACGAAAGCGUGGGGAGCAAACAGGAUUAGAUACCCCCGUAGUCCCUGUCUCUUAUACA
rnacentral:rRNA from 1 species